UACAGAGGGGGCAAGCGUUGUUCGGAAUUACUGGGCGUAAAGGGCGCGUAGGCGGCCUUCUAAGUCGAACGUGAAAUCCCCGGGCUCAACCCGGGAACUGCGUCCGAUACUGGAAGGCUUGAAUCCGGGAGAGGGAUGCGGAAUUCCAGGUGUAGCGGUGAAAUGCGUAGAUAUCUGGAGGAACACCGAUUGCGAAGGCAGCUCGCUGGGACGUUACUGACGCUGAGACGCGAAAGCGUGGGGAGCAAACAGG
rnacentral:rRNA from 1 species